CAGAGCACAGAGCUCAAUCUGAGUCUGCUUGGGUUGUAAAUAUCUUGUUAUCACCAGCUAUGAUGCUCUAAACCUUAACUCCUGGAUGAGCAUACUCAGUGUUGUGCUCUUGCAGACUGUGAAGGUAGUUCAACUUGAAGAAACGAAGGAUGCCAAAACCACACAUGGAUACAGAAAAUGUCAAUUUUAAAACACAGAGGAUAAUACAAAGCUUCUCCUGUGGGAGGAUGAAAGGAGUGCAAGUAGUGAUAGUACUUCUACAAAGACCAUUAGGAUUUGGUGAUUUCAUCAACAAAAACGCUCCCAGAGCCAUAAAGGACAGCCUGGGGGCUAUGGUCAUAUAAGAUGAAUCUCUAGAAAAGAUUAUUCAGUGUUUGCUCCCCAGCCUAAUCCAAGGGAAAGUUAA
rnacentral:lncRNA from 1 species